rnacentral:lncRNA from 1 species
CCCACAUUCUGGGGUGGGACCUGAUUGGGCUCCUUGAUCACAUCUAUCCCGGAAAACAAUCCUUGUAGCCAACAGGUUGUAGCACGCUGACACAUCCCACUCAAAACACAUGGACUGAGAACUGGGGAGGACGAAGAGCAGCCGCUGUGUCUCACAGAGAUCUGGGAGAAAAGGGUGUCCCAGGUUAGGAUUUGGGUGUUCUUGGCAUCCUCAGCGCCAUUGAAAUGCCAAUUUGAUCAAAUCUCCACAUCCCAAAGGUGCUACUUCUGCUCUUUCAACCUGUCUUUAAUGCUCUUAGCCUUGGGUUCUGCAUUAAUGUUUAUGUUGGCUGGACACAGGGGCUCACGCCUGUAAUCCCAGCACCUUGGGAGGCCGAAGCGAGUGGAUCACUUGAGGUCAGGAGUUCAAGGCCAGCAUGGCCAACAUGGUGAAACCCCUU